GGGCGGGGGCGGACCUUGCGGGUGUGUGUGUGUGAGUGGCAGGGCAGGCGGUUGUGGGUGAACGAGAGCUUUUAGGCCCGAAGUCUUACAAACACACGAACCGAUGAACCCCGAUCCAAGAGAGCAUCUGCUUCCUCCAGGGGGACCGCUGAGGGAAACCAUACAGCUGUGCUUUCGCACAGACAAACCCAGAGGAGGAGCUGCUGCGCUCACACAGUCACGCACAGUUAAGUGGGAGCUGCAGGUGCACCUCCACCUGCCUGACUGCACAUCACAGUGCGCUUUGAGCUCUGUGCACCUCCAUUUUGCUGCCUCGGAAUGAAGGCAGCAAACGAUGUCUCCAGGAAACUACCCAUGCCAGCAUUACAUCUGUCUCACUAUGAAGUAAAACCAGAAGGAAGUGCUUUCUGGAGAACAAUCCUGGUAUUCCAAUGCUGAGCUUGGAUGGAGCUAUUUCAGCACUUCCUUCUGCCUGAGCUCACCUCCACUGUGAGCUGCUGAGGGUUCCUGCAGCCGUGGAAGCAAUGUGCAGACAAGAAUCUCACAAGAAAUGUGAAACCAAAAGAAAAAUUAAGGCUGCAGCCCCUGAGAACCACCGGUGUGAAAUACGGAACCUUGAACAACACAUCUGCCAUACAUCAGUCAGCAGCAGUAGCCUGUAAACAUACAGAAAAACAUUUAAACCAGAGCCUCUACCUAUCACCUGAUAGAAGCCUGAAGACAUACACCUGGCACAAAUAAAUUGAAUCAUCCACAAAACACCAUGAAAUAAAACUUAAAGGCAACAAAUACAUCACCUUACCU